AACAGCCCUGGGCUGGUGUUUAGCUAAGUUCUACAGUAUGGCAGGCAGUGGCAAACCUCAGCUUCCGAUAACUAAAAGGCCUGCAGAUAUUCUUCUUGUGUCUUUGAGAAAGGUGGAAAGAUUCUAAAAGUCUAGGCCACUACGUCUCUCUUUCUGUCUACAGUUUCCAGGGCCAGAGAAGAGGCCAUUAUGCUUCCUAAGAGCAGAGCAACUAGGUUCUUGAAUGAUCAAACCCUUAAGCUCUCCAGUCAUGCCACCCACAGAUGUGGACCAUUGUCCUUUACCCAGU